AAAUUGAAGAGUUUGAUCAUGGCUCAGAUUGAACGCUGGCGGCAGGCCUAACACAUGCAAGUCGAGCGGUAGCACAGAGAGCUUGCUCUCGGGUGACGAGCGGCGGACGGGUGAGUAAUGUCUGGGAAACUGCCUGAUGGAGGGGGAUAACUACUGGAAACGGUAGCUAAUACCGCAUAACGUCGCAAGACCAAAGUGGGGGACCUUCGGGCCUCAUGCCAUCAGAUGUGCCCAGAUGGGAUUAGCUAGUAGGUGGGGUAACGGCUCACCUAGGCGACGAUCCCUAGCUGGUCUGAGAGGAUGACCAGCCACACUGGAACUGAGACACGGUCCAGACUCCUACGGGAGGCAGCAGUGGGGAAUAUUGCACAAUGGGCGCAAGCCUGAUGCAGCCAUGCCGCGUGUGUGAAGAAGGCCUUCGGGUUGUAAAGCACUUUCAGCGGGGAGGAAGGCGUUAAGGUUAAUAACCUUGGCGAUUGACGUUACCCGCAGAAGAAGCACCGGCUAACUCCGUGCCAGCAGCCGCGGUAAUACGGAGGGUGCAAGCGUUAAUCGGAAUUACUGGGCGUAAAGCGCACGCAGGCGGUCUGUCAAGUCGGAUGUGAAAUCCCCGGGCUCAACCUGGGAACUGCAUUCGAAACUGGCAGGCUAGAGUCUUGUAGAGGGGGGUAGAAUUCCAGGUGUAGCGGUGAAAUGCGUAGAGAUCUGGAGGAAUACCGGUGGCGAAGGCGGCCCCCUGGACAAAGACUGACGCUCAGGUGCGAAAGCGUGGGGAGCAAACAGGAUUAGAUACCCUGGUAGUCCACGCCGUAAACGAUGUCGAUUUGGAGGUUGUGCCCUUGAGGCGUGGCUUCCGGAGCUAACGCAUUAAAUCGACCGCCUGGGGAGUACGGCCGCAAGGUUAAAACUCAAAUGAAUUGACGGGGGCCCGCACAAGCGGUGGAGCAUGUGGUUUAAUUCGAUGCAACGCGAAGAACCUUACCUGGUCUUGACAUCCACAGAACUUAGCAGAGAUGCUUUGGUGCCUUCGGGAACUGUGAGACAGGUGCUGCAUGGCUGUCGUCAGCUCGUGUUGUGAAAUGUUGGGUUAAGUCCCGCAACGAGCGCAACCCUUAUCCUUUGUUGCCAGCGGUUCGGCCGGGAACUCAAAGGAGACUGCCAGUGAUAAACUGGAGGAAGGUGGGGAUGACGUCAAGUCAUCAUGGCCCUUACGACCAGGGCUACACACGUGCUACAAUGGCAUAUACAAAGAGAAGCGACCUCGCGAGAGCAAGCGGACCUCAUAAAGUAUGUCGUAGUCCGGAUUGGAGUCUGCAACUCGACUCCAUGAAGUCGGAAUCGCUAGUAAUCGUAGAUCAGAAUGCUACGGUGAAUACGUUCCCGGGCCUUGUACACACCGCCCGUCACACCAUGGGAGUGGGUUGCAAAAGAAGUAGGUAGCUUAACCUUCGGGAGGGCGCUUACCACUUUGUGAUUCAUGACUGGGGUGAAGUCGUAACAAGGUAACCGUAGGGGAACCUGCGGUUGGAUCACCUCCUUA
rnacentral:rRNA from 1 species